rnacentral:lncRNA from 1 species
CUGAACCCAUAAGAAUAUUGUUAUGUGUAUGUCCAAACAUAGCAGAUUAAGACGAGGGUCUUAUGCAGUAGGAGUCAAUAUUUAGAGGCCUUCUUCUAAUUGAAAAUAUACUACUGAGCAUGUAGGCAUAAAAGUUGUGCUUACAUGUAAUAAGUAUAUGUGUGUGUGUAUAUAUAUAUAUACGCACAAAAAUGGAAAAAGAAAAUGAUUGACGCACCAGGUAGAUCAGGAAAUUGAAUUGAUUAAGGAAAACGAGAGAAAUUAUUUGAAAUGACAGAAAAUAACACGCACUUGUUGCUUGUUCCUUCACAUCCCACCCCUCUCGUCUCUCUCUUUCUCUUCUUCGCUCUAUCACCGAUAACUCAACUGCAUAAAUCCAUUCUCUCAAAAUCACUAAAGACUGGUCCGAUAUCUUCACUCGCGUUGGCAAAAUUAACUCUCCAACAACUUAAUCUGGCAAAUGGUUAAAGCGUAACUGGAGUCGAGAUUCGAGGAAAAAGAUGAUUUUGGAUCUUAACCUGAUCGUGGUUGUAUCAGGAAGUACCUGCAACUCCGAUUCGAUUCUAAAGGUGAGGAAGAAGUUUCUUCAGCUUUCUAUGCGGAGAUAAAUGGAGAGAUCAAGUAACUUCAACUCUUUAUUCGUCAAUGUCGACGCCAUUGACGAAGAGGCUCCUGCUCCACCGCCGACCUUCCUUCUUCGACGAAACUUGGAAGCAAUAUUUAUUACUUAAAUGUAUUAAUUUUUAUAAUGUAAAAAGGAAUUAUUUAGGGUAUUAUGGUGAUUUAAAUUAAGUUUAGGGGCACAGUAGUAAUUUAAAAUUUUCAGGUACAAAUCUCUUUUUGAGGGAUCAAAACUGUAGUUUCUUCGUUCACAUUUUUUUUCUUUGUAAACAUUACGUGGAGAGACAUAAUAAAGAUGGAAGUUUGACAUUUUGACAGACAAGCUGUAGUGUUUAGUCUAACAUGAGUGAUAGGAGACCUUGACACAUUGAUAAACACUUAUAGCAUUUAAUAAAAUUCGAGUGAUAUGUGAGUUUAACAUCUUAUCUUAAUAGACAAACUGUUAUUUUCAAUAAAAUAUGAG